GACGAACGCUGGCGGUGUGCUUAACACAUGCAAGUGGUGCGACGAACCAGAGCUUGCUCUGGGGCAAAGCCGCGAACGGGUGAGUAACACGUGGGUAAUCUACCCCGAUGACCGGGACAACCCGAGGAAACUCGGGCUAAUACCGGAUGUGGUGCGGAGACAUAAGUCUCUUCACUAAAGGUAGCUUCGGCUUCCGCAUUGGGAGGGGCCCGCGGCCCAUUAGCUUGUUGGUGGGGUCAAGGCCUACCAAGGCAACGAUGGGUAGCUGGUCUGAGAGGACGAUCAGCUACACUGGGACUGAGACACGGCCCAGACUCCUACGGGAGGCAGCAGUGGGGAAUCUUGCGCAAUGCGCGAAAGCGUGACGCAGCAACACCGCGUGAGGGAAGAAGGCCUUAGGGUUGUAAACCUCUUGCAGAUGGGACGAAGGUUCUCCGGUGAAUAGCCGAGAGGAUUGACGGUACCGUCAGAAGAAGCUCCGGCUAACUACGUG
rnacentral:rRNA from 1 species